GUCAAUCUGAAAACCAAUACCUUUACGUGGUGGUUGACAUAAGUAGCUUACAAAAGCGAAACUGAAAUUGGU
rnacentral:ribozyme from 1 species